GUAAACAAUGAGAAUUGAGGCGUUGGGGUUAUGUCCACCUUCUGAGGUAUACGUCUCUAUUGGCUAUGAGUGUGUAGAGUCUUGACAUGUAAUUGCUUAUAGAGAAUUGUAGUCGAUGGUAAAUCCAAGCGUCUCUCGACCUAAACAAGGACUAUUUCACUUUAACUCUCUCGAGCUUAAAGCGUGACUAACGGUACGAAUUCUCCAAGAAGUUAGUCCAGGUACGGCACUAGCUUUUUAAUAGGAAAGGGUGUCCUACUACCUUGACAUUAUCUCUUUUCCAGACAAAUAACUUUUCUCUCGAACAAGUCAGAUGUUAGACUGGCGUUGGUCUAUGCGUCUUCUUUUCUAUACAAAUAACCUUUCUCUCGAACAGGUUAGAUGUUAGAAUGGCGUGUUCUUGUGUUUGAACCGCAAAGAAUGUAGAUUUAAGAUGAAGAGAAUAAUGAUAUAAGCAAUAUACUUGUCUUGAACUCACAAACUCAUAGCUAUAGAUAGUAACUCAUUCGGCUUCCAUAACCCCAACUAAGAGAUUUAGUUACCCAUGAAUGCGAAGGAUAUCACGCUUUGCAUGGUGGAUGGCGUGAAUAGUAGGUGUUUGGCGUGUGGUUUUAGUGAUUCCGUAGCAAGUAACGAUUCUCUUGUUGUGGAAUUUAAGAGUAGAAGAAUGAAGAAUUGAGAAUGGGUUGUAGGAAGAUGUCUUAAUUGUAAGGAGAUGAAUGAAUUGUC
rnacentral:lncRNA from 1 species